GCGUCUUAGGUGCAACCUAUAAUAAAGCAGUGUUCCCUCUUAAUGGACGGUUUGUGCCUGGUGGUAGCAGCAGAGCGAGACAACGCGGUCAUUGGCUUCGACUCCCUGCUGGACAGCGUGCGUUGGCAGAAGCAGUCGGUGCUGGACAUGGCGCAGCAUCUCCUCUAUCCCCAGAAUGAGAAACAGGCUGAAGAGCUGCUCUGUUGUCUUUUUGACUCCCUGACGUCUGACAGCACCUGCCACAUUGAAUCCCAGAGCUGCUAGCUGCUGGUCACAGCCCCCAGGUAGCCCGUGGGCCAGUGCCAUUGCAGGGGGUAUCUGUGCAGGUGGGCACAAAGCCGCUCCCGGCCUCCAGGAGCACCAGCACUUGUUUGUCAUUAUAAUAAAUUCUGAAGCAUCCUGUUAG
rnacentral:lncRNA from 7 species